UACGGAGGGUGCAAGCGUUAUCCGGAUUCACUGGGUUUAAAGGGUGCGUAGGCGGGUAGGUAAGUCCGUGGUGAAAUCUCUGAGCUUAACUCAGAAACUGCCGUGGAUACUAUUUGCCUUGAAUAUUGUGGAGGUGAGCGGAAUAUGUCAUGUAGCGGUGAAAUGCUUAGAUAUGACAUAGAACACCGAUAGCGAAGGCAGCUUGCUACACAAUUAUUGACACUGAGGCUCGAAAGCGUGGGGAUCAAACAGG
rnacentral:rRNA from 1 species